rnacentral:tRNA from 1 species
GGGAAGGUGGCUCAGAGGUAGAGUGCUUGCUUCACAAGCAUGAGGGCCUGGGUUCGAUUCCUCAGCACCCCA